rnacentral:misc_RNA from 1 species
AAGUCGUAACAAGGUUUCCGUAGGUGAACCUGCGGAAGGAUCAUUAACAUCUUUUUUGAUUUGUGUGGUGUUGUGUUAGAGUGAGUGUUUUCACUUGCUCUAUCACCACCCUCAACCCCAUUGUGUGCAUGUUUUGUGUGUGAGUAAGAGAUGGGUGCUUCUUGUACCUAGCUUUUCAUUCACUCACUCCAUCUAUUCAUUUCACAACCCAAACCCCUUCUUCUCAUCACACUAGACUGACUUACACCUCGUUUUACUCAGUCUACUGAGCAAAACAUCAAUCAGCAUACAACUCUUAGCAACGGAUAUCUAGGCUCUC